UGCAAGUCGAACGGUGAAGCCCCGCUUGCUGUGGGUGGAUCAGUGGCGAACGGGUGAGUAACACGUGAGCAACCUGCCCUGGACUCUGGGAUAAGCGCUGGAAACGGCGUCUAAUACUGGAUAUGAGCCUUCAUCGCAUGGUGGGGGUUGGAAAGAUUUUUUGGUCUGGGAUGGGCUCGCGGCCUAUCAGCUUGUUGGUGAGGUAAUGGCUCACCAAGGCGUCGACGGGUAGCCGGCCUGAGAGGGUGACCGGCCACACUGGGACUGAGACACGGCCCAGACUCCUACGGGAGGCAGCAGUGGGGAAUAUUGCACAAUGGGCGGAAGCCUGAUGCAGCAACGCCGCGUGAGGGAUGACGGCCUUCGGGUUGUAAACCUCUUUUAGCAAGGAAGAAGCGAAAGUGACGGUACUUGCAGAAAAAGCGCCGGCUAACUACGUGCCAGCAGCCGCGGUAAUACGUAGGGCGCAAGCGUUAUCCGGAAUUAUUGGGCGUAAAGAGCUCGUAAGCGGUUUGUCGCGUCUGCUGUGAAAUCCCGAGGCUCAACCUCGGGCCUGCAGUGGGUACGGGCAGACUAGAGUGCGGUAGGGGAGAUUGGAAUUCCUGGUGUAGCGGUGGAAUGCGCAGAUAUCAGGAGGAACACCGAUGGCGAAGGCAGAUCUCUGGGCCGUAACUGACGCUGAGAGCGAAAGGGUGGGGAGCAAACAGGCUUAGAUACCCUGGUAGUCCACCCCGUAAACGUUGGGAACUAGUUGUGGGGUCCUUUCCACGGAUUCCGUGACGCAGCUAACGCAUUAAGUUCCCCGCCUGGGGAGUACGCGCAAGGCUAAAACUCAAAGGAAUUGACGGGGACCCGCACAAGCGGCGGAGCAUGCGGAUUAAUUCGAUGCAAC
rnacentral:rRNA from 1 species